rnacentral:rRNA from 1 species
AGCGAACGCUGGCGGCAGGCUUAACACAUGCAAGUCGAGCGGGCCUUUCGGGGUCAGCGGCGGACGGGUGAGUAACGCGUGGGAACGUGCCCUCUGGUUCGGAAUAACUCAGGGAAACUUGAGCUAAUACCGGAUACGCCCUUUUGGGGAAAGGCUUGCUGCCGGAGGAUCGGCCCGCGUCUGAUUAGCUAGUUGGUGAGGUAACGGCUCACCAAGGCGACGAUCAGUAGCUGGUCUGAGAGGAUGAUCAGCCACACUGGGACUGAGACACGGCCCAGACUCCUACGGGAGGCAGCAGUGGGGAAUAUUGGACAAUGGGCGCAAACCUGAUCCAGCCAUGCCGCGUGAGUGAUGAAGGCCUUAGGGUUGUAAAGCUCUUUUAUCCGGGACGAUAAUGACGGUACCGGAGGAAUAAGCCCCGGCUAACUUCGUG